AAGUGACUCACAACUACCAGAUUGUGGGAACACUGAAACAGCCUAUGGAGAGCCCUCAUGGGAAGGAACUGAGGUCUUCUGCCAACAGUCAUGGAUGUACCAGGACGACCAGCCAGCCUUCUGCAAUGAGACCCAGUGGCCCUUUUCCCAAACCAUGGCACAGGAUUUAAAACAACCACACACAAACAAGAAGUUUAGUCUACACAGUAGAGGUGGACACGCACACACUGUAGGCAGCAUAUAGACACUGGGGUCCGGCUGGGCUGGGUCAGCAAUACUCACGGCACUUGAGGAGGAAGGGCACCUUCCUGGGCUUCCACCUAGAGGGACACUGGCACCCAGCUCUCCAGCCUGCCAGGAACUCGGCCAACCAUUCCAGGGUGGGUCCUUUUCAAGAACAACACUUGGCCCCUCCUCCUCCUUUAAGUACUCUGUCCACUUGUUUCACUGAGGUCAGCUAGCAUAGAGCCCACCCUACAUCUCAGAGGAGGCAAAUCUACACGUGCUCCCCUGGAAUGCCCCCUCUUUCUCUCUUCUCCACCUAGAGCACCUCUCCUCCAGGGACCAAGGAGAAAAGCUCCCUCUGCUGUUUGAUGUUGACACCAGCCUCCCACAGACAACGCUUCUAUCCAGAGGUGGGCUUAGUACUUUCCCUGGCACAGACUAAAGUGUAUAGCCAUUCAGGGCUAUGUUGCACUUCAUUUAUUCCCUCAUUCAUUCAUCCAUCAAAUGCUGGGGGGUUCCUACUUAGAAGCAGAGCAGUCAUGGUAGAAAUAAGACUACAGAUUCAGAAAUUGCUGAAACAUGGUUUUUUUCAUAUAUUUCAACUGCAUGCCUAAAGAAAUGAGAGACAUAUCAGCCUGAAGCUGGGUGACUGCUUCACCUCAGUUCAGUUCUGAAUGUACCAGUUUUCUGGAUUCUAUAUCAAAUCCACUCACUGUCUCCUUCCCAGAAAUUGUUUUCAGAUCCACAGGGUUGAGGCCCUUAUAUUCACAAAUAAACAAACUUAGACAUUGCAUUUGAAAAGUGACUCAAGGGCAUAUUUUGAAAACCAGGGAAAUAACAGCAAAUAAAGAUAAAACAUAUAUCUGAAAAGAGAUUAGAUACACAUUUAGAAAGAAAAGGAGUCAUAGCAUUCCUUCAGAAGAAGGAUGAGAGUAGGGCACUACUACAGAUAUCUGUAUUCGUUGAGUUUUUAACUUUUAGAACACAUGACAUUGAGUUCCUGCAGAUUCUGCAGUGUCAGGUUCCUCAUCCCAGCAGGGCAGCUGCCCUGGGAGAGGGAGGAGCCCUGGACUUGGGGUCAGGCCCCAGAUGACUGCAGAAAUGAUGCUGGGCCAACAGGGGAAACCCUACCACUGAGGGGCUCACAGCCCAGAGGGGAAAUGCUGCUAAACAGAAGCACAAAAAUCUCCCAGAAGAUUCAACCCUGGCUGUGCAUCAGAAUCACUGGAGGCGUUUUUGUGGGGUUUUUUUGUUUUUUGUUUUUUUAACAUUCAUGCCUAAGCCCCACCCCUGUCUCCUGAAUCUGAAUCUCAAGGUCAGACAUCACCUCCACUGUCCAGCUUUUCUGAUGCCUCCAGACAACACAGUUCCUUCACCUAUGACCCUGUACUCCUGGGUUUUUGUCACCUUCCUCCUCGCUUAUGUGUUCGCCUGCCCUCCAGCUCCCACUAGACUCUGAGCAAGGUGAGCCAGAGAAAUAACUGUCAUUUGAUUACAAAGCCUUUUUCCCCAG
rnacentral:lncRNA from 10 species